UUCCUGACAGUUACACAAGAAGGAACUGAAGCUCUCAGAGAAACAGAAGCUCUUAAAUUUUGGCAGCAUUCAGUAAACUGUCUCACGUUAAUAAAUAACUGACAUAAUUUUAAACUUCUUUCUCCUUUACAGAUGCCUCUCACUUGGCAGCUGGCCUCUUUGCAGCCAAGACAGGAGUAAAAAUUCCCGAUGAUUUCAGCUGGCCUUAGAGUCAGGAGGCUGCACUGGAAUUGCAAGAUGCAGCACUGGGGGGAGCAGAGAGCAACAGCCAUUCAGAGAAGACCCCAGUGAAAAUACAGAACACAUAGAAAUACUGAUACAAAUUGUGAACUGAGGAUUGAGAUACUAAGCUCACCGUGUCAGAGGUGGACAUUGAUGGUACAGCAGUAGAAGUUGAACCUUCCUACCAACAUUCCAUCACAUGCUACUCCAAUUGACAGAUGGCAGCAGAGGAGCAGUCUGAUACAAUGACAUCGAAUAUGGAACUGUGUAUGAAGCAAAGAGACUUUAUGCUUCAGGAGAUGUGAAAAACAUCUAGCUGGAAUGAAGAGAUGGCAACAAGGUCACCAAAUGGAUGCAGCCAGAUGCAAAGGGCAGAAGCUCUACCACCGAGUGCAGAAGUUUCUGACGUGGUGAGGCACUCAGUCAAUAUGCUAAGGCCAAUCUUUAAGCAGCAGUUGGUUGAGCUGUGUAAUCCAUACAUCUGGAAACUGCCUGCCUAUCACAGUGAAUAUGCACAGAGGAGGCUGCUGCUGUAUUUGUGUCCCAUGUGUUUGCUUUGAUUUGAUUUUGUGUUUGGAUGGGAAAGGGAAAGAGGAAAUACUCUGACAUUUUCACAUGCCUUUAUUUUUUAUUGACUCUGAGAAACAACUCAAACACCUUGUCUAUUCAAAUGAGAUGUUCCCAUGUCUUGCCUAUCCACAGUCUUGGGUAUUCUCACAGAAAGUACCACAUAAUUCCCUCUGUACUCAACACUGGUGAGGCCACAUCUUGAACACUGUGUUCAGUUUUGGGAGCCUCGCUGGAAAAAAAGAUGUUGAGGCUCUGGAGCAUGUUCACAGAAGGUCAACUAAGCUGUUAGGGGAGUGAAGUGGCCUUAUGAGGAGUGGCUGAAGGAGCUGGGAUCAUUUAGUCUGGAGAAGAGGAGGUUCAAGGGAGA